rnacentral:lncRNA from 1 species
AGGACUUUUCUAAGGCUUGUAUUGAGGCUGAGCUAACAAGAGAAAUUAGUUUUUCUGGAAUGCAAAAUCCUUGAGUUAAGAGAGCUACAAAAUUAUUCGAAGUUUGAGCACCCCUCUCUACCUCACCAAUAUCACUCAUUCCCAACUUCUUCCCUUUUCUUUUACAUUGAGUUCAUCUUCAUGCUUUUCUUCUUUUCUUUUCUUUUUCUCAUGCAUUUUUCUUUCUCACCAUUUGAGCUCAAUGCUUUUCAAUUGCCUUUCAACUUCCCCCAUACAACCCCAAACUUGAACCUUUUCAACACAUACAGUUAAGCUCAACCCAACUCAAGGUAAAGAAUUUCAAAUCAAGGGUUCUCAUCCUGUUUAAGGCUAAGGUUCAAAAAGGGUAUAAUAUUUCAAGCACUGGGUGAAAAUUUGGCUAGAGAAGGGUUUUCAAAAAUGGCCUUGAUCAUAUGACAUUCACAUGCAAUUCAAUCAAUCAUCAAGAUUAAAGCAAUAUCAUUCAUGCUUUCUUGGGAACAAUACAUACAGCAAUGAAAACUCUGGAGUUCAAUACCUCACACAACAUGCUUCCUCACACAUCAUUCAACAUACACCCUGCUUAGCAUCAUAACCACAAUCAUAAUUCAUCACACAUCUGUUCACAUAGCUAGUGAACUUUUUCACAGAAUAUCAGCAUGCAACACAACUCAAUUAUCAUUCACAUUUAAUCAUCAUCAAAUAGACUUAUCAUGCAUGCCAUUCAGUCAAACAUUGUUAGAAAAGUUUUCAAGCCAAGCAUAGACACUGAAAAUAAAUAAAUAAAGAUUCAACCUAUUCUAAAAAUUAAAAUACAAAAGUGAAAGAGAGAACAUAGGUUGCC